rnacentral:rRNA from 1 species
AUUGAACGCUGGCGGCAUGCUUUACACAUGCAAGUCGAACGGUAACAGGUUAAGCUGACGAGUGGCGAACGGGUGAGUAAUGCAUCGGAACGUGCCCGAUCGUGGGGGAUAACGCAGCGAAAGCUGCGCUAAUACCGCAUACGAUCUGAGGAUGAAAGCGGGGGACCGUAAGGCCUCGCGCGAUCGGAGCGGCCGAUGUCAGAUUAGGUAGUUGGUGGGGUAAAGGCCCACCAAGGCGACGAUCUGUAGCUGGUCUGAGAGGACGACCAGCCACACUGGGACGGAGACACGGGCCAGACUCCUACGGGAGGCAGCAGUGGGGAAUUUUGGACAAUGGGCGAAAGCCUGAUCCAGCAAUGCCGCGUGCAGGAAGAAGGCCUUCGUGUUGUAAACUGCUUUUGUACGGAGCGAAAAGGUCCUUUCUAAUACAAGGGGCUCAUGACGGUACCGUAAGAAUAAGCACCGGCUAACUACGUGCCAGCCGCCGCCGUAACAC